rnacentral:rRNA from 1 species
AACGAACGCUGGCGGCAGGCCUAACACAUGCAAGUCGAGCGAGGACUUCGGUUCUAGCGGCGGACGGGUGAGUAACGCGGGGGAAUGUGCCCUUCUCUACGGAAUAGUCCUGGGAAACUGGGAGUAAUACCGUAGACGCCCUAUUGGGGAACGACUUAUCGGAGAAGGAUCAGCCGGCGUUGGAUUAGGUAGUUGGUGGGGUAAUGGCCUCCCAAGCCGGCGAGCCGUGGCUGGGUUGAGAGGAUGAUCAGCGGCACUGGGACGGGGCCACGGCCCUAACUCCUGCGGGAGGCAGCAGUGGGGAACCUUAGGCACUGGGCGCAACCCUGAUCUCGCCGUGCCGCGUGAGGGAUGAAGGCCUUAGGGCUGUAAAGCUCUUUCAGCUGGGAAGAUAAUGCCGUUCCCAGCAGAAGAAGCCCCGGCUACCUCCGU